CCUACGGGUGGCAGCAGUGGGGAAUAUUGCACAAUGGGCGCAAGCCUGAUGCAGCCAUGCCGCGUGUGUGAAGAAGGCCUUCGGGUUGUAAAGCACUUUCAGCGGGGAGGAAGGCGUUAAGGUUAAUAACCUUGUCGAUUGACGUUACCCGCAGAAGAAGCACCGGCUAACUCCGUGCCAGCAGCCGCGGUAAUACGGAGGGUGCAAGCGUUAAUCGGAAUUACUGGGCGUAAAGCGCACGCAGGCGGUCUGUCAAGUCGGAUGUGAAAUCCCCGGGCUCAACCUGGGAACGGCAUUCGAAACUGGCAGGCUAGAGUCUUGUAGAGGGGGGUAGAAUUCCAGGUGUAGCGGUGAAAUGCGUAGAGAUCUGGAGGAAUACCGGUGGCGAAGGCGGCCCCCUGGACAAAGACUGACGCUCAGGUGCGAAAGCGUGGGGAGCAAACAGGAUUAGAUACCCGGGUAGUC
rnacentral:rRNA from 1 species